GCCACAUCAUGUUGAAACACUGGUUCCUGUAUGAUUAUGGAAGUUAAGCAACAUUGAGCCUGGUCAGUACCUAGAUGUGUGAUCACUUGGGAAUACCACAUACUGUAA